UACAGAGGUCUCAAGCGUUGUUCGGAUUCAUUGGGCGUAAAGGGUGCGUAGGUGGCGCCGUAAGUCGGGUGUGAAAUUUCGGAGCUUAACUCCGAAACUGCAUUCGAUACUGCGGUGCUUGGGGACUGGAGAGGAGACUGGAAUUCAUGGUGUAGCAGUGAAAUGCGUAGAGAUCAUGAGGAAGACCAGUGGCGAAGGCGGGUCUCUGGACAGUUCCUGACACUGAGACACGAAGGCCAGGGGAGCAAACGGGG
rnacentral:rRNA from 1 species